rnacentral:rRNA from 1 species
AGUGAGCGCUGGCGGGGGGCCUAACACAUGCAAGUCGUACGGGGGCACCGUUUGGGUUUUCGCUUACGGGUGGCUAGACCCUGACGAUCUAGGUACACACCGAGUUCUGCUUUUUCGUGAUUCAUCUCGUUGGGCACCUUACACUAAUAUCUCAUACGACCUGCGGUGGAACUCAGGGUAUCUUCCCACCUUUAGCUAUUGUAUGAGCCUAUGUCUGAUUAGCUAGAUGGCGGGGUAAAGGCCCACCUUGGCGACGACCCGUAGCUGGUCUGAGAGGAUGAUCAGCCACACUGGAACUGAGACACGGUCCAGACUCCUACGGGAGGCAGCAGUGGGGAAUAUUGGACAAUGGGCGCAAGCCUGAUCCAGCCAUACCGCGUGAGGGAAGAAGGCCUUCGGGUUGUAAAGCGCUUUUGUGCGGAAAGAAAAGCAGCCGGUUAAUACCUCACUGUUCUGACGGUACCCAAAGAAUAAGCACCGGCUAACUUCGUG